rnacentral:sRNA from 1 species
GCCGGGCGCAGUGGUGCACACCUGGAAUCCUAGCCCCUGGGGAGGCUGAGGCAGGAGGAUCCCAAGUUGGAGGCCAGCCUCAACAACUCAGCGAGACCCUGUCUCAA